rnacentral:rRNA from 1 species
UACGUAGGGUGCGAGCGUUGUCCGGAAUUAUUGGGCGUAAAGGGCGCGUAGGCGGCCUUCUAAGUCGAACGUGAAAUCCCCGGGCUCAACCCGGGAACUGCGUCCGAUACUGGGAGGCUUGAAUCCGGGAGAGGGAUGUGGAAUUCCAGGUGUAGCGGUGAAAUGCGUAGAUAUCUGGAGGAGCACCUGAGGCGAAGGCGGGCUACUGGGCCGAUACUGACGCUGAUGCGCGAAAGCCAGGGGAGCGAACGGG